AGGGCACCUCUAUUUUUGUUAGGAUACUUAUUCAAUAUAGUUCACUGGAAAAAUCUAUCAUACCCUAGUUUAGUAUAAAAUAAGUAGGAUACCUUUUAAUUGAAUAAAACAAGGAUAACUUAGAAAAACCCUACAAAAAUAACCCCAAGGUGAAAACACCCCCACCCUUGGGAUAGUUAAUGUUUUGUUAUUAAGAACCUAGAAAAAAUAUGAAAUCUGCUGUUUGACAUUUUUUUAAAUAACAAUGUAGUAGAAAGUGCCUUUUGACAUUAAACUUUAGAAAAUCAUAACUAAAUAACCACCCCUUAGCUUUCUGUGGUUUUUGGCACAAAAGCCUAUUAUUACUGUUAGAUGCCAACAAAAAUAACCUUUAAGACAGAUCCCACCUCUAAUUAAGAGUUGUAGUACAAAGUGGCCCAUUUACCCAACUUUUAUUAUUUUUGUCUUAAGCAUAGCCUUUUUAUUUUGAACCUCAACUUCCUAGAAGGGACUAUAGUAACCAAUGGCAACCCACUGUAAUUUUUACAAAAUUUUUGGAGAAGAUUAACCUACUGUUGUAGUUCAAACCCCCACUAGAAUUCAUAAAUAGAAAUUAAAGAAAGGAAAAUGAAUAAUGGAAAUUAGUGUCAUCCUAAAACCCUUGUAAAUUGUCCACUAAAAUAUAUAAAUGCAAUACCAAUUCCCUAUGUUUACCCUAAAUAAAAACUUAAACCUAAAAGUGAUAAGCUUAAACCACUAAAAACCCCUGCAUGACCGAGAAACCCUAAGUUACUUCUUAACUUAGUUUCUUUUUAGCAUAAUGUCAUUAAAUCCUGCAUAAUCAUGACAUACAUGUUCAUUGCAUUCGAUAGACUGUAACCUUGCUUACGGAGAGUACGUCCUCGUGCCGGAGCAAGGAGCUGCUCUGGAGGUAGCCCCAGAUCCAGCAUCAAAGCCUGCACCAGAGGAC
rnacentral:lncRNA from 1 species